GAUGAACGCUGGCGGCGUGCCUAAUACAUGCCAGUCGAACGCUUUGUCUUUAAUUGAUAUGAAGAGCUUGCUCUGAUUUGAUUUUAUCUGACAAAGAGUGGCGAACGGGUGAGUAACACGUGGGUAACCUACCUCUUAGCAGGGGAUAACAUUUGGAAACAAGUGCUAAUACCGUAUAACACUAACAACCGCAUGGUUGUUAGUUGAAAGAUGGUUCUGCUAUCACUAAGAGAUGGACCCGCGGUGCAUUAGCUAGUUGGUAAGGUAAUGGCUUACCAAGGCGAUGAUGCGUAGCCGAGUUGAGAGACUGAUCGGCCACAAUGGGACUGAGACACGGCCCAUACUCCUACGGGAGGCAGCAGUAGGGAAUCUUCCACAAUGGGCGCAAGCCUGAUGGAGCAACGCCGCGUGUGUGAUGAAGGGUUUCGGCUCGUAAAACACUGUUAUAAGAGAAGAACGACAUUGAGAGUAACUGUUCAGUGUGUGACGGUAUCUUAUCAGAAAGGAACGGCUAAAUACGUG
rnacentral:rRNA from 1 species